rnacentral:lncRNA from 1 species
UACAAAUCCCAGCAGACCACGCGGCGUCAGGGUCGCAGAUUCCGGCAUGCAGUUUGGAGCUGCCUUCCUUUGACCCUGAAAAUUACAUCUUAUUGCAUGUUCUCUCAGAAAGGCUUCACUCCCGUUGUUGGUUGCAGUUUUUCUGUGUCUGAUUCCUUCACAGCACAACUUGAAGCAUUUAGCUCUGUCUUAAAAUAUAAUGUUAGAGUAGACCCGUUCUAGAGGAGAGAACUCACUUCACAGAGAUCUGGCUGCCUCUGCCGCCUGCGUGCUGGGACUAAAGGCGUGCGCCACCACCGCCCGGCAGGACAGACUUCUUAUAAA